GACAGAGGGUGCAAACGUUGCCCGGAAUCACUGGGCGUAAAGGGCGCGUAGGCGGCGCGGGAAGUCAUCGGUGAAAGUUCAGGGCUCAACUCUGAAUCGGCCGGUGAUACUCUCGUGCUUGAGCACUGUAGAGGCAGGUGGAAUUCCGGGUGUAGCGGUGAAAUGCGUAGAGAUCGGGAGGAACACCAGAGGCGAAGGCG
rnacentral:rRNA from 1 species